rnacentral:tRNA from 1 species
GGGAUUGUGGCUCAGUGGUACAGCACUUGCCUAGCAUGCAUGAGGCACUGGGUUCUAUCCUCAGCACCA